rnacentral:lncRNA from 1 species
CUGGUCUGUCUGAAAAUGCAAGGCCAUUCGUUUGUAAAACUUCUUGGGCUAUUUGAGGAGAUGAUAUUACAACCGUUGAAAGUUCACCAAUUUGUAGGUGCAUUAUAGGACCAUAUUUUUGUGCUAAUUUGUUGAGAGAAUGAUGGGGUAGUGAACCUAUCAGUUGGUGCAAGUUUCCAAUAAGAGGGAUUUUCCAUGGACCUGGAGGAAAUUUUGAAGGAAUUAUGAAUCUUUUGCUGUUGUUGAAUAGCAAGAACAGGAAGGAAAUUAUGAAGGAAAAUGCAGUGAGGGAAAAGGAAGAUGGGAUUUCCAUUGGAGGGAAGAUGGGAUAUUGGAGGCAUAUUGUGGCUAUUAAUUAUAUACAAAGAGUCAGAUUUUUUUUUUUUUUUAGGAAUAAUGUUAUUCGUAGUCAAUUACUAAAACAGUCAUCUUAUGUGGCAGUUUAUUAUUUGAUGCAUUAGCUUGUUGUUUGAGACAAUAGAAUUACAGAAAAUUAAUGCUUCAAAAUAACAGGAUGUUCACAUAACGUGACCACGGUAGUUUUUGCUAUAAAUUAAAUUAGAUUAAGUCUAUGUUUGACUCAUUACUUUUAGAUGUUUAUAAACACCUUGGUAAAAAAUGCUUAGUCCUUGCUUAAGCCCCAUUUUUUGGAAAAAAAAAAUGCAUUCUUAAACAGUGUCACACAUUUUCAAUAAAAUAACAUUACAUACAAAUUUGAAAUUUCUUUCUUAUUUUUUAAUCACACAUUUUUCAUGAAUACAUUAUUUAAGAAUGCACUCACAAAUACUACUCACUUUUCAACCAGUCAUUUGCUAAUGUUUAUAAGCUCCCUUUUGUUAACACUUCGAAGUGUGGUCAUGUUUUGUUUUCGCACAAAAUACAAACAAUUUCUCGAAAAGUUCUUCCUCUAUUCGCUCUUAUCUCUCUUCCUAUCUUCCUUUCUAUCUUCUUAUACAGUUCUAAUAAUUGUUAAUUACAUACUAUACGUUCUAUCUUCUUAUACAGUUCUAAUAAUUGCUAUGUACAUACUGCACCAUCUAUAAUUGAAAGCGUUCAAUACAAGACGAGAUUUAAUUUUCAAGGGCCACUCAACGAGUGCAUUUUCAAAUGGGGAUAUAUUUUAAAAAUAAAAAUGAAAAUAAAAUAUUUUAAUCCAGAUUUUAGUCUCAAAAGGUGGCUAGAUUCGUAUUAUCUACAAGUCAAAUAAAAUUUAUAUUUUAAAAAUAAAAAUGAAAAUAAAAUAUUUUAAUCCAGAUUUUAGUCUCAAAAGGUGGCUAGAUUCGUAUUAUCUACAAAGUCAAAUAAAAUUUAUAUUUUUCCACGAUCCAUAUAGCUAACUGCUUGCAUGUUGCAAUAAUUCAUUCUUUUUUUAUUGAGUGAAUCACGAGGGUUGAAUUGAUAUACUCUUACUGAUACGUGUAAAUUAGAUUAUUAUAAGAUUAUUAGGAUUCAUUUGACAUAACUUUUGAGAAAUCAAAAAACUAUUUUAGGAUCCAUUUACUUAAUUUUGUAGAAGUGAUUUUUAGGUAAAACUGACUUAAUGUGUCUUCCAAAAGAGGAAGUUCUUUUAGAAAUUAGUUUCCAAAUACUAUUUAAUGUACUCCCUUGAGGAGGUUCGGAAGUAAAAGUAGAUGUGAAAUCCGACCGAAUUGGACCUUAGUCUUGUUUUCAUUGGUUACUUGGUUUGAUACAAGUUUUCGAAUGGAUUGAACUACAAAUCAUUACAAAUAGCGUGUCAACUAUUGAGAAGGAUCAACGCAUGUUAGGUUUGUCAUUGACAAUAUUUGGUGAUCAAUUUAGUUUGGUCUAUAAAUGUGUUCGUUCAUUCAUUCUUUAUUUUUAUUUUAUCAUGAUUGCAUUAAAUAUUCCAGAUACUACUAUACCAAAAAUUUAAUAAAAUAAGGAAAAUUAAUGAAAAAAUUUUGAAAAAUUAAAAUAUAUGAAGAGCGAUAAAUGAGUACAAAAUAUUUUUCCUUUCAAGGCGCAAUUUGAAAAUAAAGAGUCUUUUAAAUAUGCUAUUGAAUGAUAUCAGCAAGGCCAUUUGUUUGUAAAAUUUCUUGGGCUACUUGAGGAGAUGAUAUUACAACCGUUGAAAGUUCACUAAUUUGUAGGUGCAUUAUAGGACCAUAUUUUUGUGCUAAUUUGUUGAGAGAAUGAUGGGGUAGUGAACCUAUCAGUUGGUGCAAGUUUCCAAUAAGAGGGAUUUUCCAUGGACCUGGAGGAAAUUUUGAAGGAAUUAUGAAUCUUUUGCUGUUGUUGAAUAGCAAGAACAGGAAGGAAA